rnacentral:rRNA from 1 species
UAAGCAUAUCAAUAAGCGGAGGAAAAGAAACCAACAGGGAUUGCCCUAGUAACGGCGAGUGAAGCGGCAACAGCUCAAAUUUGAAAUCUGGCUCUUUCAGAGUCCGAGUUGUAAUUUGCAGAGGGCGCUUUGGCGUUGGCAGCGGUCCAAGUUCUUUGGAACAGGACGUCACAGAGGGUGAGAAUCCCGUACGUGGUCGCUAGCCUUCGCCGUGUAAAGCCCCUUCGACGAGUCGAGUUGUUUGGGAAUGCAGCUCUAAAUGGGAGGUAAAUUUCUUCUAAAGCUAAAUACUGGCCAGAGACCGAUAGCGCACAAGUAGAGUGAUCGAAAGAUGAAAAGCACUUUGGAAAGAGAGUCAAAUAGCACGUGAAAUUGUUGAAAGGGAAGCGCUUGCAGCCAGACUUGCCUGUAGUUGCUUAUCUGGACUUUUGUCCGGUGCACUCUUCUGCGGGCAGGCCAGCAUCAGUUUGGGCGGUUGGAUAAAGGUCUCUGUCAUGUACCUCCUUUCGGGGAGGCCUUAUAGGGGAGACGACAUGCAACCAGCCUGGACUGAGGUCCGCGCAUCUGCUAGGAUGCUGGCGUAAUGGCUGUAAGCGGCCCGUCUUGAAACACGGACCAAGGAGUCUAACAUCUAUGCGAGUGUUUGGGUGUCAAGCCCAGACGCGUAAUGAAAGUGAACGGAGGUGGGAACCUUUUAGGUGCACCAUCGACCGAUCCUGAUGUCUUCGGAAGGAUUUGAGUAAGAGCAUGGCUGUUGGGACCCGAAAGAUGGUGAACUAUGCUUGAAUAGGGUGAAGCCAGAGGAAACUCUGGUGGAGGCUCGCAGCGGUUCUGACGUGCAAAUCGAUCGUCAAAUUUGGGCAUAGGGGCGAAAGACUAAUCGAACUAUCUAGUAGCUGGUUCCUGCCGAA